AGAGAAUGUGGCUGAUAAGAGGGCUCUCUUCAUUCUUCUUUGGUAUGAUAGAGUACACUCUCAAAACGCUAAACCUCUCCACACCUGGAUUCAAUGUCACCAGUAAAGCCAAUGGUGAUGACGAACAAAAGAAGCGGUACGAGCAAGAAAUAUUCGAUUUUGCGCCCUCUUCGUCCAUUUUCUUACCCAUGACCGCAGUGGCCGUCCUGAAUCUCUUUGCUUUCGUCUCGGGGCUCUAUGGUCUUUUCGCAUGGGGAGAAGGACUCAGCCUUGAGCUGAUGCUUGCAAGCUUCGUGGUGGUGAAUAGCUUACCGAUCUAUGAAGCCAUGGUGCUGAGGAAAGAUGAUGGAAAGUUACAAAAGGGUAUUUGUUUCUUAGCUGGGAUACUCACACUUGUUCUUAUCCUGGGAGGUUACUUUUUACUCAAGUAACUUCAUCUGUUAGGUUUUUUUUUUAAACAAUAAGUCAUCAGGCAGAAGACACAGAAUAUAUAUCCACUUUGUAAUGUGAUGUAAUACAUUGUGGUCUCUUGCAUCAUCAAAAUCUAAUAAAAUUUGAAGAUUUACAACUUUUGUAUUGAUGAUCUACUCGCUAACAAAAUUUGUAUUUGUUUAUUUCUUUCGGGUCAAUGAGUCAAACCGGUGACGUUUGAGAAGAGUCUGGAUGGUCGUUGUCGUCCACCAAGGUUUUGGUCGAAGGGAUGAAGACAGAGGAGCGACAGAGAGGGCAAGUGGUAUGAGAAUAGAGCCAAAGGUGAAUACAAUCGAGAUGAAAUAUAUGUUUGCAUGAAGGCAUUUCCACCAACUCUUCCUUUAACUCGAAUUCUCCCAAACAUACGCAACAUCUGCACCAAUUUUUCAUUAAAUUAGUCAAACUUUCGAUUCACCAAAAACAAGCAACAACCAAAGAUAAAAUUAAACACAAAGACAUGAAACUAUAUAAUAUAUUCAAAUUAGGAUUGAUUUUAUAUAAAUCUUGAUUUUUGUCAAUCUUGAUUUUGGUCUUAUCUAGAAUUUAAACUUUCCGUCUUUUACUUUUAAUAUUCAUUCUAACACUAGAUUGUGACAUGUACUCAAACAAUCCCACAACACCUCUUCAUGCUUUGUGCUAUUUGUCAGACCCUAUGAUAAAUUUCGGUUUAGGAUUUGUGCAAUUUCCUCAGAGGUUUCAAGGAAUUAACAGAAACGAUGUCUAUGCAUCAGAGCUCAUACGUCCCUUUGACAUCAAUAUGGUUGGGUAUGAUGGGCUUAUGGGCCCAAUUCACGUGGGCACUGGGUGCUUUUUCAAUCGACGAGUUUUCUACGGGCCUCCAGCAAAUUUGAUUUUGCCUGAGUUAGAUGAACUUGCGCCAAAUAGGAUUGCAGAUAAGCCCAUUAAGGCCCAUACUGUUUUGGCAUUGGCACACAAUGUAGCUGGAUGCAACUACGAGCAUAACACCAAUUGGGGAUCCAAGGUAAUUAGAUAAAACCAAUAAUCAUAAUCUCUUUAUUUUUCCUGCUUGAUAUCUAAAUUUCAAAUUAUCAUGCAAAACUAUGCAGAUUGGAUUCAGAUAUGGAUCAUUAGUAGAAGACUACUACACAGGGUUCAUGCUUCAUUGUGAAGGAUGGAGAUCAAUGUUUUGUAGACCCCAAAGAGCUGCUUUUUAUGGAAGCGCCCCAAAACGCCUAACAGAUGUAGUGUGCCAACAAAUGCGUUGGUCCAUUGGUCUUCUUGAAAUGGGGUUUUCAAGGUAUAGCCCAUUCACCUAUGGUUUGAAGUCAUUAGGCCUGUUUACAGGCUUAGGCUAUUGCUACUAUGUGGUUUGGCCGUUUUGCUCAAUUCCUCUUACCGUUUAUGGGGUUUUACCUCAGCUUGCCCUAAUAUAUGGGAUUAGAGUGUUCCCCAAGCCAUCAGACCAAUGGUUUUGGCUUUACAUCUUCUUGUCCCUUGGUGCAUAUGCGCAAGAUCUAGCAGAUUUUUUGUUGGAAGGAGGAACUUGUCAGAAAUGGUGGAACGAUCAGAGAAUGUGGCUGAUAAGAGGGCUCUCUUCAUUCUUCUUUGGUAUGAUAGAGUACACUCUCAAAACGCUAAACCUCUCCACACCUGGAUUCAAUGUCACCAGUAAAGCCAAUGGUGAUGACGAACAAAAGAAGCGGUACGAGCAAGAAAUAUUCGAUUUUGCGCCCUCUUCGUCCAUUUUCUUACCCAUGACCGCAGUGGCCGUCCUG
rnacentral:lncRNA from 1 species